rnacentral:rRNA from 1 species
UACGUAGGGGGCUAGCGUUGUCCGGAAUCAUUGGGCGUAAAGCGCGUGUAGGCGGUCCGGUAAGUCCGCUGUGAAAGUCGGGGGCUCAACCCUCGGAUGCCGGUGGAUACUGUCGGGCUUGAGUGCGGGAGAGGCGAGUGGAAUUCCUGGUGUAGCGGUGAAAUGCGCAGAUAUCAGGAGGAACACCAAUUGCGAAGGCAGCUCGCUGGAACGUUACUGACGCUGAGACGCGAAAGCGUGGGGAGCAAGCAGG